rnacentral:rRNA from 1 species
CAAAGAGCAGCGAGCCUGCGAAGGUAAGCGAAUCUCAAAAAAGUAGUCUCAGUUCGGACUGUGGGCUGCAACCCGCCCACACGAAGUCGGAGUUGCUAGUAAUCCCGAAUCAGCAUGUCGGGGUGAAUGCGUUCCCGGGUCUUGUACACACCGCCCGUCACGCCAUGGGAGUUAGGAGUACCCGAAGCCAAUGACCUAACCGCAAGGAAGGAGUUGUCGAAGGUAAGACUGAUGACUGGGGUGAAGUCGUAACAAGGUAAC